rnacentral:rRNA from 1 species
UACGGGGGGGGCUAGCGUUGCUCGGAAUCACUGGGCGUAAAGCGCACGUAGGCGGACUCUUAAGUCAGGGGUGAAAUCCUGGAGCUCAACUCCAGAACUGCCUUUGAUACUGAAGAUCUUGAGUUCGGGAGAGGUGAGUGGAACUGCGAGUGUAGAGGUGAAAUUCGUAGAUAUUCGCAAGGACACCAGUGGCGAAGGCGGCUCACUGGCCCGAUACUGACGCUGAGGCACGAAAGCGUGGGGAGCAAACAGG